rnacentral:lncRNA from 1 species
GAUAAGUUUUUUUCUUAUUGAUAAGUUAACCAAUGUAAUUUGAAUGGAACGUUCAUCGUCUGGUUCUUUUAUGUGGCUUAAUUUACAAUUCAGAUUGACUUAAUUUGAAUAGUAUGUCUUCCAUGUGUUCUUUUGUCGUCUUAAUAUAUUAUUAUUCAUCUUUGCCUAAUUUGCAUGGAAUGUCGUGUCACAUGGCAUUGCUCCACCAAUGGCAUGGCAGAAUACGCUUAUCACGUGUAGUAUGGCUAUUUAAGCGUGGGAAUUUCCAAUACGCUUCAGUCUUCGUCACGUCGCCGAAAGCUGUGAAGACUCACCAGAAUGCCGCUGUGAACCCAGAAAACCCCUGUAUACUCCAGUAAACUACAGUACAUACAUUCCUGAUACCCAUCCAUUGUGUGUAGCGACGGGUGUUGGCCCCGCAUACGAUUUGUGAGUUAUAUUCAAAUCUAAUUGCUAAGUUAUAGGCUAACUGUAAACUUUAUGAAGAUGCUGUAUCUAUCUCAACCUGUGAAACUCUAAACACUGUGCUCUAAUUAACUUUCAUUUAUUGUGAACAUAUUGUUUAAUUGUCACUGUGUUUAAAUAUUGUACUUUGGUGUGUAAUUG